rnacentral:rRNA from 1 species
AGUGAACGCUGGCGGUAGGCCUAACACAUGCAAGUCGAACGGCAGCACAGUAAGAGCUUGCUCUUACGGGUGGCGAGUGGCGGACGGGUGAGGCAUACAUCGGAAUCUACUUUUUCGUGGGGGAUAACGUAGGGAAACUUACGCUAAUACCGCAUACGACCUACGGGUGAAAUCAGGGGAUCUUCGGACCUUGCGCGAUUGAAUUAGCCGAUGUCGGAUUAGCUAGUUGGCGGGGUAAAGGCCCACCAAGGCGACGAUCCGUAGCUGGUCUGAGAGGAUGAUCAGCCACACUGGAACUGAGACACGGUCCAGACUCCUACGGGAGGCAGCAGUGGGGAAUAUUGGACAAUGGGCGAAAGCCUGAUCCAGCAAUACCGCGUGGGUGAAGAAGGUCUUCGGGUUGUAAAGCUCUUUUGUUGGGAAAGAAAAGCAGCAGGUGAAUACAUCGAUGUUCUGACGGUACCCAAAGAAUAAGCAACGGCUAACUUCGUG